CAUAGGACUCCACUAUGCAAGGCCAAACGUGGCAACUUCAAGGAUACCUAUCCUGAUGAUUUGCUAGCACCUGUUUUGAGGGCAUUGAUAGACAAGACAAAUAUAAACCCAAGUGAAGUAGGUGACAUUGUAGUGGGUACUGUUUUGGCACCUGGAUCUCAGAGAGCCAGUGAAUGCAG